GCCAGGUGGUGAGAUAACAGCAGGUUUGUACUCAAAACUUUUGAAUGUUAAGAUCUAAGCAACAUUCAAGCUAUGUCCUAUUUGGACACUGAAGUGGUAUGACAUGCUUCAUCUGCUAAGAAACUGGUGCACAAACACAUGUUAAUGUAAUUUGCUUGCUUGACUUUUCUCUUUUGUUAUUAAUGAGUACUCCAUUUUGGUUUUUAUGUUCUUGUGUUAGCGUUUGCAUUAGUUGCAAAGUUAAUGUAUUCUAGUGGCUGUUCUGGAUUUCUGAUUGAUAUGAAAUAUUCCCACAUGAAAAUGUGCACAAACAUAUGUGAACGGGCAAUCUGAGGAGAGUUGUUUAAUUUUUUUUUCUUUCCUUUCUUCUCCCCCUUUUCAGUAGAGGUGGAGAGAACUGUUUUUCUAAAUUUAUUUUAUGGCGUUCUUUUUCUUUUGGGUGCAUUUUGUUAAUUGGUAUAUGUCUGCAACUUUUGAUGAUUCUAUGGAUUGACACCAGAUGACUGGAGCCCUAGUGGAAGUGCCUUUUAUUCAUAUCUUAUUCCUUCUCAAAAUGUAAAUUUUCUUUAUGAAUGUGCUUUUGACAACAUAAUAGGUUAUGCAAUACAACUGCUGCUAAUUGAUUUUAUUCUGCAUCUGCAGGAUUUUUA
rnacentral:misc_RNA from 1 species